rnacentral:lncRNA from 1 species
CUGAAGCUCUUUUUCUUUAGAAGACCAUGCUGCAGAAACUUCAAAAUACAAAAGAAUGCUGCUAUCUACUAUCUGGUGAAGUAUUUUAAGAGGACUGCAAAAAACUAGGUUGUGCAUACUGACCCUGAAUCAAAUCAGGUUUCUGCCUACAAGAAGGAAGAAGAAAUGGCAGCUAGGUUCUCUCUCUUUGCCUGCCGCCAUCUACGUAAGAUGUGA